rnacentral:rRNA from 1 species
GAUGAACGCUGGCGGCGUGCCUAAUACAUGCAAGUCGAGCGAACAGACGAGGAGCUUGCUCCUCUGACGUUAGCGGCGGACGGGUGAGUAACACGUGGAUAACCUACCUAUAAGACUGGGAUAACUUUGGGAAACCGGAGCUAAUACCGGAUAAUAUAUUGAACCGCAUGGUUCAAUAGUGAAAGACGGUUUUGCUGUCACUUAUAGAUGGAUCCGCGCCGCAUUAGCUAGUUGGUAAGGUAACGGCUUACCAAGGCAACGAUGCGUAGCCGACCUGAGAGGGUGAUCGGCCACACUGGAACAGAGACACGGUCCAGACUCCUACGGGAGGCAGCAGUAGGGAAUCUUCCGCAAUGGGCGAAAGCUUGACGGAGCAACGCCGCGUGAGUGAUGAAGGUCUUCGGAUCGUAAAACUCUGUUAUUAGGGAAGAACAAAUGUGUAAGUAACUAUGCACGUCUUGACGGUACCUAAUCAGAAAGCCACGGCUAACUACGUG